rnacentral:misc_RNA from 1 species
UCAAACUUGGUCAUUUAGAGGAAGUAAAAGUCGUAACAAGGUUUCCGUAGGUGAACCUGCGGAAGGAUCAUUAUUGAAUUCACUCGAUGGGUUUGUAGCUGGCCCUCACUGGGGGCAUGUGCACAGCCUGUCUUGACUUUAUUCAUCCACCUGUGCACCUCUUGUAGUCUUCCUGGGGCUGAUGAAUGGUCAACUCAGUCGCCAGGCUGGAUGUGAGGACUGGUUGAUCAUCUCUGCAUUAACCUUUCUUCUGUGCUGUGAAAUCUCCCUUGGAAGACUAUGUCCUUUAUCACAAACCAAUAUUGUAUGUUGUCAGAAUGUAAUCAGUGGGCUCUUGUGCCUAUAAAAACAUUAUACAACUUUCAGCAACGGAUCUCUUGGCUCUCGCAUCGAUGAAGAACGCAGC